AAGUAAUAAUGAUAGAAUUAGUAGUUUUGAAUAUUUAAGUUUAGGAACUCGGCAAAUUUUAUUCUCGCCUGUUUAACAAAAACAUGUCUUAUAGAUUAUUAAUUUUAAGUCUGCCCUGCUCAGUGAUUUAUUUAACAGCCGCAGUAUCUUGACUGUGCGAAGGUAGCAUAAUCAUUUGUCUCUUAAUUAGAGGCUAGUAUGAAUGG
rnacentral:rRNA from 1 species